AGGAACCCGGGCGAAGGCUGAGAGCGUUGGAAUGACAGGCCGUGCCUCCGGUGGGUGGGACUAUAGGGUGACGUCAUUCGGGCCAUGUCCAGGCGCUACCUUGUUAGGGAAAGUGGCUGGUUGUUUGGGGCUGACCCGAGGUAAGCAUAGGUUCUGCGACUUCCCGGGCCGCCAAUCGGAGCCUGUCGGAAGCAGAAUUGCCUGACAGUGACCCGAUGCUAGGAUUAAAAGUGACCCGGGUCACCUGGAGGUCACACACCUUCUCUGUUGAAUGGGAUGAAUUGCUUAUUGGGUUUGUUUACUGAGCUCACUGGGUUUGUUUAGAGCAUAGUCUAACCUCUGCGGUUACAGCAUCAGAUUUGAGAAACCGGUGGAGUGGGGAACGCCUGGGCUCCACGCCCCUUCACCCUCACAAAAGGAAAAGGCCACAGUGAGAAUCAUUUUCUCUGGUUAAUACCAGACUCGUGUGACCCUGAGCAAAAGCACAGGCUCCAGGGCGAUCCACAGCAUUCGGAGCUGGAACUGAGAGCACGGGAGUUAAAAGGCCUUCCACAGCCCUGGACUACCUUGCUGCCUCUGCUCAAGCACACACCGUGGGUACACUUUGGAAUUACCAAGGAGCUUUCAAAACUGCAGGUGUCUAGGUGUGGUAGUUCACAUCUAUAAUUCCAAUACUCAGGAGACCCAGCCAGGGCUAGAGAGUGAACCUCUGUCUAUAAAAACAAACAAAAACUACAGUUACACUAAGGUGUUAUUUCCAGACAACUUAAAUCCCUGCAGCUGAGGACUCGGAACUGAUAAUUUCUGGGGAAUAAUCACUAAUAUAGAAAAAAAAUUACACUAUUCCCUGAAAAAAACAAGGAGCAUGGAUUUAAUUUAACCCAACACAUUCCAACCAGAUUACAGACAGACCUUUUAAAGUGUUAAUUAAUUUGCCUAGUGUUGUGAAUGAAUUUUCCCAGUUUUCACUUCCAAAAUCAGUUUGUGAGAUAGUUUAACUUGAGGGACUUUGAUCACAGGCUUCUCUCCACCGCACAGCAGUAAAGCAGGUGUGGUUUGCCCUUUCCUUGCUCCAGGUGGAUCCACUGAAAGAUGUAUCCUGGUGUAUUGGAAAUAAUGUUCCCAGUUGCUUUUUACAGCAGGUGUGCUUCAGAACAAUCCCCUGUUAACUCAUUGUCUUGACUUUUGGUUUUAUUACAUUGACUACAACAUGGAUAAAGUCUUUAACUGAAUACACACGAGAAACAAACUGUUCAGCUGAGCCUUUAAUUGGAGAUUACAUCAUGAGUUCUGAGACAAGCCUCGGCCACAGCAUGACACUGUGUAUAAAUCUUAGUUGACUGGGGAAGGUAUGUAGACCUUCUAUGAAGGACGUAGGAAACACUGGAUAGUCAUUUGGAGGCAGAUAAAACUGAAUUCCUACUUUACGGCAUACACUACAAUUUAAAGAAGAAAACUCAUUAAAGGAAAACAUGGGCUAACUUAACUUUUUUAAAGACGGGGUUUUGCUAUGUAAGCCAGGCUGACUUUGAACUAUUCUCCUGUGAAAAGAGCUAUUGGGUUUGCUUCUAUAAAUUUGUCAGGAAUUUGGCAUUGAGCCAGGACAUGGAAGCAGGCUCAAGAUCUUGACCAUCUUGAUAAGUUCCUGAAUACCUCGGGACUUUUUAUUGCCUUGUUUGUUCCUUGACCUAGAACUGACCUUAUACUUUGUAUGUACCUAGAAUGAUAUAGAAGUGGACUGGAGAAAAACAAACCCUCUUCAGACUCAGCACUGGCUGGAAUCAUGUUAUAAUGCUGUCUAAUUGCCUUUUUCUUUUCAAUCCCCCCUCCCUCCCUCCCUUGAGACCCUGUUGACUGAGCUGCCUUGGUCACUCGUACUGUAGUUAGUGGCCAUAGUAGGUAACACUACAAACUAUGCUGCUGUACUUGGGUUAAUUUUGUAACUUAGAAAUGGGGGGAGGUAGGGCAGGGAACUUUUCAGACUAUUACUUAAAACCAAAAAUAAAUCAAAAGAGAAAAAUGAAAAGAUUUAAUCACCCUUUUGUUUAGGAAUAAUGUAUAUAAGCCCAGUGCUUUGGGUAUAAAAUAAAAAGUUAAG
rnacentral:lncRNA from 1 species